rnacentral:lncRNA from 1 species
GUAGCCACCUUCAAGCAAAUGGAGAAGUCGAGGUAAUAAAUUGGAGCAUUUUAUAAGGUCUAAAGAUAAGAUUGGAUAGAGCCAAAAGAUCUUGGACCAACAAACUUUACUAUAUGCUCUGGACAUAUCAAAACAACACCGAGAGUUUCGAUAGGAGAAAAUCCUUUUAGCCUGACUUUUGGGAUGAAAGUAGUGAUCCCUG